AUUCUUUGUGAGGAUCAAUCCAGAUGUUGGUACCAAAUGCACAGCCAAAGUCGGUACAAGCCGCAAGACGGGAAGUCUUGUCAAGAGGAAAGUAGUCAGUGUCAACUCCCAGAUCACCACCUUCUUCCAACAACUUGCUGAAUUUGAAUGGAGGACUUCCAACUAGUUCAGCUUCCACAAGAUGGAUCCCACUGAUUUUGUUUGACGAAUGGAAUAAAAGUUCUUCUGAUGUAGGAAA